rnacentral:lncRNA from 1 species
AAAGAUUCAGUCUGUCUUCUGUGGCUCAAAGCUAUUUCUUAUUGACAUAUUGCUAUUGGAUUUUUUUGGGGGGAAUAUUUUGUCCUUUUUCUCUUUGAAAUUUAGUUGGGUUAAAUGGGCAUCUGAGCAGAAUGAAUAUCUGGGACUGAAUGCCUAUUUCAAAGGAGACUGGUAAACCUUUCAUUUUGAGUGGCCACAGAGUUAUAUUAAUCUAUAAUUCUCAUAAUAUUAAAUUACAACAUGAAUGUCCUUUUAGAUUUCAUUUACAUUAUAAAAGGAUGAUGCAAAGGCCACUUUCUAUUGUUUAUUUCGUCCUCUCACUCUCUCUCUCUCUCUCUCUCUCUCUCUCUCUCAUAAUAAUUAAAUUAACUAACAAUGAAUAGUCCUUUUACGUAUUUCAUUUACUAUUAUAAAAGGAAUGAUGCAAGGACCACUUUCUAUUGUUUAUUUCGUUCCUCUCACUCUCUCUCUCUCUCUCUCUCUCUCUCUCAUUGUUGCAGGAUCAUGUCUUUGAUUUAUUAUCUGAGUGCAGCAGAGAGUGGAUUUGAAGCAGCUCAGUUUAAUGUGGCGUACCUGUGUGAACUCAACUCAGGCUCUUUGGAUCCAGCGCUGGUGACUCAGUGCAUGUUAAGAUAUUAUAACAUGUCGAUACAGACUCAAGAUCCGGCUCCGUACGGUAGUUGUAACAAAUCCAAGACUAAAAUACAAAUUAAAAUGAUUUUAAAUAAAAAAGUUAUAACAAAUAUAAAAUGUAAAGAACUUUACUGGAAAGUAUUAUUUUUUUUCAAAUACAUAUUUUUAUGGGAAAAGCUAAUAAUUAAAAAAGAAUAAUGUUUAUUUGUCAUUUUUUAAUUUUAUGUAUUUAUAGUUAAAAAUUUUCCAUUUUCAUGUUAGGGUCUAAUCUUUUAUAUUUCAUCUGAAAAGGUUGACAACUGCUGCAGUAGAAUAUAAAAUGAAUGUAAUUUAGUGUGGGAUACAGAGUGGCAGUCAUUUAUCUUUGUGAACUGAAACGCUCGUCAUGAAGGACACCUGAGGUUUGACUCGAUGUCCUGCGUCAGUGCAUCAGUACAUGUGUGCUCUUUCUCAAGCUCCCUGUUGCUUAAACUGGAGUCUCUGCAUGUGGUGAUGGAUGUCUGUUUCCCUCUCAGCUUUGAUCAGAAUGGGAGAUCUGUUCUAUGGUGAACAGGCUUUGGGCAGAAAAGAGGUUUCUGAUGCAGCAGAGAUGUACAAGCAAGCAGCACUCAAGAAAAAACCACAGGUACCCAUGACAACAAAUGAUCAGAAAUCGUAAUUAUUUAAUAAAUGAUUAUU